CGAAUUGUAUGAUAGACAGAUUUCAUACGAUGAAUUUUUCCAAUUGUGUCAGAGUUCCCUCUUGAGUUGGCAAUCCGAUUGGGACACAGCGGUGGUUACAUUCACUUCUAUCAAAUGGUUCUUCCAAAGCGUGGUUCAAUGGUUUAUGUGCAUAUCUAAAAAAUAAAUCUUGAGUAACAGAAAAAGGUCUGAACGAAUCGAAAAACAAAGAAUAAGCCCUUCCUAUUAUGGUGCCAAAGCAAGCAGUUGUCUUUUUAUUUUGAUCCUAAAACAGGUUUUAACAAGUGGCGACGAUGAAAAAGUUAUUUCGCACAAAUAGUGCAAAUUUUGAAAAAUGAAAAGCAGAGAUAAGCCAACAUAGCCUUUGCGAUAGACGCCAGCAGACGCCAUUGCGGUAGAGGAACAAUUGGCCUAUAUAAACCUUUUGUCUUUGCAUUACGGAAUCACCAUUAUUGAUUCCGGUGAAUUUUCCUGCGUUAAACUUCGACGGGCAGCAACUCGUAUUUCUAAUCCAGCACUGCAAAAGCCGAGAGGCGCUUUAGGUUAGUCUUAUUUCACGUUACCUCCCGGAAAGGCAGUUGCAGAAACGAGAACAAGACGACGAAAGGAAUCCUAAAUAUCCAGCAGCUAAGAUUAUACUUAAUUGUGUGCGAUUUUUAUGAUAUCAUUAAAGGAAAUGAUUAAAAAUGAAAAACAUGCAUAGAAGACUAUGUUAACAUGAUAAGUCCUAAUAAUUCUGAAAUUAACCCGGACAUGCUCUUGAGUGAUAUGGUCAACUGAAUGUGAUCCAGAUAGUGAGAAUGUGAGGAUGGUUCAAAUUGGAAACGUACCAACUAUGGCACAUAGCAGUGUAAUUCGCAUAUGUAAAGGAUAUAGUACCUUUAAAAAUCAAAUACGCGCUUGGUCCGGCGACGGCCGAGGCUAGACGCCAGCGAUACCCACCAGGAAGAGUUUCGUAAGCAUUAAUUUUUUGUGGGCUUAGUCAUCGUUGGAGUAUCGUCCUCUCAGCCGAGAGUUGUCACACGCACUGUAGCAUUGUGCAUUGGGACCAGGGAUAGGAUCUGGUGUUCGACUGGCUGUUGAAGGUGGGCGAUAAAUCGACAGCAUUGACUUUGUUGCAUUGAAUACUUUUUUGGCUGAUAUUGACUGGACUGAUGUCCUGUCUGGAACCGAUGUCGACCUUGUCGUGAAGAAGUAGCAACCCCAAUUCAUGAUAUUGAUAAAUUGCCGGAUUUGUUUCUAAGGCGUUCGAAAAGUUUACACUGACAAAGAAUUUGUUCAUACGAAAUAGUUUACUGUUAGUAAUAUCGAAUCGUUAUAUUAUGAGUGUUAGUAGUGAUUUCUUGAAUUGGUUAAGUUUGAUUGUAGUUUCUGAUUUUUGUGACAAUUGAAUUGAAAUGCUCUGGGAAUAAUUUUAAAACGUAAUUCUCUAAAUGGGGAAGGGCUGAAGUGUUCGUAACAAAUGCGUAUAUAUUUACUAUUAUAAUGAGUAGUUUGUAG